GGAUCGGGUCUAAGGAGGUUGCCAUUCACCAUGCUUAAUUUGUUCUUGGCAGAUAGGGAAGUAAUUAUGUUGUUUCUCCAAAUAGCAUAACCAUUCCCAUUGAAAACCAUAGGUACUAGCUGAGAACUAGGAUUCUCAAAUGGAUGUACAUAAUACGGGUGUGAGGUAUCCAGAGUGAAUUCCUCAAACCCACCAGUUGUGGUAGAAUUCCCAGUAGUAGGGAUGGUUGAAUUCCCAGUAGUAGGGUUUACCAUAUCAAAUAUGCAAAUCUAUACUCAGACUACUUCAGAAAAUGCAGAGCACGCCCCAAUAUACAAAUACUGAGUGAAAUCCUUACAUUAUAGCUAUGAUAUACGAAUAUACAGCGAAUAUCUCAGUAUACAAAUCGAUAUGCGAAGAUUACACUUCAGAUCUAAAAGAUUUUGGGCAUACGAGCAAAAUACCAAUUUUUGAGAAAUGAGUAGUCGUAUGGAAAGAGUUUACUGUUCUUCUUCUUAAACCUGAAGAAGAUCAGGUCUUGCACAACAUAGAUCGGACCUGAACCACUUUAUACCUCCACAAAAUCUUUAGAAACUCCAUUUGAGGGUAGUAUCGGACGAAUGCGCACUUUGAGAUCUAUCAGAAAACCUGCUCUAAUACCAUGUUAAGCUCAAAAUCGAGCUGAAUUUGGUGAAACAAAUCGAACAAUCCUAAUCUGAUUUUGAGAGAAUGAAUGGAGAAAGGGAGAAAAAAUCUUUUCUUAUUCUCUUGGAAUCGUCUAGAAUCAGGUCCACUAUUAUUUAUACUUGAUAAUAGUAGACCGGGUUAUCAAUGUGAUUACAGACAAAUGAGGCCCAAUCUGUCAUAAUAAUGAAUUGGCCCAAU
rnacentral:lncRNA from 1 species